rnacentral:rRNA from 1 species
CAGUAGCCGCGGUAAUACAGAGGAUGCAAGCGUUAUCCGGAUGAUUGGGCGUAAAGCGUCUGUAGGUGGCUUUUCAAGUCCGCCGUCAAAUCCCAGGGCUCAACCCUGGACAGGCGGGGGAAACUACCGAGCUGGAGUACGGUAGGGGCAGAGGGAAUUUCCGGUGGAGCAGUGAAAUGCAUUGAGAUCAGAAAGAACACCAACGGCGAAAGCACUCUGCUGGGCCGACACUGACACUGAGAGACGAAAGCUAGGGGAGCAAAUGGGAUUAGAUACCCCUGUAGUCCCUGUCUCUUAUCAC